rnacentral:rRNA from 1 species
CACGUGGUAUCCUGUCUGAAUAUGGGGGGACCAUCCUCCAAGGCUAAAUACUCCUGACUGACCGAUAGUGAACCAGUACCGUGAGGGAAAGGCGAAAAGAACCCCGGCGAGGGGAGUGAAAAAGAACCUGAAACCGUGUACGUACAAGCAGUGGGAGCACCUUCGGGUGUGACUGCGUACCUUUUGUAUAAUGGGUCAGCGACUUAUAUUCUGUAGCAAGGUUAACCGUAUAGGGGAGCCGCAGGGAAACCGAGUCUUAACUGGGCGUUAAGUUGCAGGGUAUAGACCCGAAACCCGGUGAUCUAGCCAUGGGCAGGUUGAAGGUUGGGUAACACUAACUGGAGGACCGAACCGACUAAUGUUGAAAAAUUAGCGGAUGACUUGUGGCUGGGGGUGAAAGGCCAAUCAAACCGGGAGAUAGCUGGUUCUCCCCGAAAGCU